rnacentral:rRNA from 1 species
AGCGAACGUUAGCGGCGGGCUUAACACAUGCAAGUCGAGCGAGAAAAGGGCUUCGGCCCUUAGUAAAGCGGCGGACGGGUGAGUAACACGUAGGUAAUCUUCCCUUGAGCGGGGGACAACGAGGCGAAAGCCUCGCUAAUACCGCAUACGUUUCUCGGGUCUCUGGACCUGGGAAGGAAAGCUAGGCCGCAAGGUCCGGCACUCGAGGAGGAGCCUGCGUAGCAUCAGCUAGUUGGUGGGGUAAUGGCCUACCAAGGCGAAGACGCUUAGCUGGUCUGAGAGGAUGAUCAGCCACACUGAAACUGAGACACGGUUCAGACUCCUACGGGUGGCUG